GACGAACGCUGGCGGCGUGCCUAAUACAUGCAAGUCGAGCGAGCGGAACUAACAGAUUUACUUCGGUAAUGACGUUAGGAAAGCGAGCGGCGGAUGGGUGAGUAACACGUGGGGAACCUGCCCCAUAGUCUGGGAUACCACUUGGAAACAGGUGCUAAUACCGGAUAAGAAAGCAGAUCGCAUGAUCAGCUUUUAAAAGGCGGCGUAAGCUGUCGCUAUGGGAUGGCCCCGCGGUGCAUUAGCUAGUUGGUAAGGUAAAGGCUUACCAAGGCGAUGAUGCAUAGCCGAGUUGAGAGACUGAUCGGCCACAUUGGGACUGAGACACGGCCCAAACUCCUACGGGAGGCAGCAGUAGGGAAUCUUCCACAAUGGACGCAAGUCUGAUGGAGCAACGCCGCGUGAGUGAAGAAGGUUUUCGGAUCGUAAAGCUCUGUUGUUGGUGAAGAAGGAUAGAGGUAGUAACUGGCCUUUAUUUGACGGUAAUCAACCAGAAAGUCACGGCUAACUACGUGCCAGCAGCCGCGGUAAUACGUAGGUGGCAAGCGUUGUCCGGAUUUAUUGGGCGUAAAGCGAGCGCAGGCGGAAGAAUAAGUCUGAUGUGAAAGCCCUCGGCUUAACCGAGGAACUGCAUCGGAAACUGUUUUUCUCGAGUGCAUUAGAGGAGAGUGGAACUCCAUGUGUAGCGGUGGAAUGCGUAGAUAUAUGGAAGAACACCAGUGGCGAAGGCGGCUCUCUGGUCUGCAACUGACGCUGAGGCUCGAAAGCAUGGGUAGCGAACAGGAUUAGAUACCCUGGUAGUCCAUGCCGUAAACGAUGAGUGCUAAGUGCUGGGAGGUUUCCGCCUCUCAGUGCUGCAGCUAACGCAUUAAGCACUCCGCCUGGGGAGUACGACCGCAAGGUUGAAACUCAAAGGAAUUGACGGGGGCCCGCACAGGCGGUGGAGCAUGUGGUUUAAUUCGAAGCAACGCGAAGAACCUUACCAGGUCUUGACAUCUAGUGCCAUUUGUAGAGAUACAAAGUUCCCUUCGGGGACGCUAAGACAGGUGGUGCAUGGCUGUCGUCAGCUCGUGUCGUGAGAUGUUGGGUUAAGUCCCGCAACGAGCGCAACCCUUGUUAUUAGUUGCCAGCAUUAAGUUGGGCACUCUAAUGAGACUGCCGGUGACAAACCGGAGGAAGGUGGGGAUGACGUCAAGUCAUCAUGCCCCUUAUGACCUGGGCUACACACGUGCUACAAUGGGCAGUACAACGAGAAGCGAGCCUGCGAAGGCAAGCGAAUCUCUGAAAGCUGUUCUCAGUUCGGACUGCAGUCUGCAACUCGACUGCACGAAGCUGGAAUCGCUAGUAAUCGCGGAUCAGCACGCCGCGGUGAAUACGUUCCCGGGCCU
rnacentral:rRNA from 1 species